UACGGGGGGAGCAAGCGUUGUUCGGAUUUACUGGGCGUAAAGGGCGCGUAGGCGGCGCGACAAGUCACUUGUGAAAUCUCCGGGCUUAACCCGGAGCGGCCAAGUGAUACUGUAGUGCUAGAGUGCGGAAGGGGCUACUGGAAUUCUCGGUGUAGCGGUGAAAUGCGUAGAUAUCGGGAGGAACACCAGUGGCGAAGGCGACUACCUGGCCCAUUCUUGACGCUGAGGCGCGAAAGCUAGGGGAGCGAACGGG
rnacentral:rRNA from 1 species